rnacentral:rRNA from 1 species
AAAUGAAUUGACGGGGGCCCGCACAAGCGGUGGAGCAUGUGGUUUAAUUCGACGCAACGCGAAGAACCUUACCAAGGCUUGACAUGGAUAUGAAUGGGCCGGAAACGGCCAGGCCCUUCGGGGCAUAUCACACAGGUGGUGCAUGGUUGUCGUCAGCUCGUGUCGUGAGAUGUUGGGUUAAGUCCCGCAACGAGCGCAACCCUUGCGUCCAGUUGCCAGCGGGAAAGCCGGGCACACUGGAGGGACUGCCGUGGACAACACGGAGGAAGGCGGGGAUGAGGUCAAAUCAUCAUGCCCCUUAUGCCUUGGGCCACACACGUGCUACAAUGGGCGCCACAGCGCGACGCGAGGCAGCGAUGCCGGGCGGAUCGCCAAAAGCGUCCUCAGUUCGGAUUGCAGGCUGCAACCCGCCUGCAUGAAGCUGGAAUCGCUAGUAAUCGCGGAUCAGCAUGCCGCGGUGAAUACGUUCCCGGGCCUUGCACACACCGCCCGU